GGGGAAUUUUCCGCAAUGGGCGAAAGCCUGACGGAGCAACGCCGCGUGAGGGAUGAAGGCCUCUGGGCUGUAAACCUCUUUUCUCAAGGAAGAAGAUAUGACGGUACUUGAGGAAUAAGCCACGGCUAAUUCCGUGCCAGCAGCCGCGGUAAUACGGGAGUGGCAAGCGUUAUCCGGAAUUAUUGGGCGUAAAGCGUCCGCAGGCGGCCUUUCAAGUCUGCUGUUAAAACGUGGAGCUUAACUCCAUCAUGGCAGUGGAAACUGAUGGGCUUGAGUGUGGUAGGGGCAGAGGGAAUUCCCGGUGUAGCGGUGAAAUGCGUAGAUAUCGGGAAGAACACCAGUGGCGAAGGCGCUCUGCUGGGCCAUAACUGACGCUCAUGGACGAAAGCCAGGGGAGCGAAAGGG
rnacentral:rRNA from 1 species